rnacentral:rRNA from 1 species
AACGAACGCUGGCGGCAUGCCUAACACAUGCAAGUCGAACGAGACCUUCGGGUCUAGUGGCGCACGGGUGCGUAACGCGUGGGAACCUGCCCUUAGGUUCGGAAUAACUCCCCGAAAGGGGUGCUAAUACCGGAUAAUGUCUUCGGACCAAAGAUUUAUCGCCUUUGGAUGGGCCCGCGUUGGAUUAGCUAGUUGGUAGGGUAAAAGCCUACCAAGGCGACGAUCCAUAGCUGGUCUGAGAGGAUGAGCAGCCACACUGGGACUGAGACACGGCCCAGACUCCUACGGGAUGCAGCAGUGGGGAAUAUUGGACAAUGGGCGAAAGCCUGAUCCAGCAAUGCCGCGUGAGUGAUGAAGGCCUUAGGGUUGUAAAGCUCUUUUACCCGGGAUGAUAAUGACAGUACCGGGAGAAUAAGCUCCGGCUAACUCCGUG